CCUACGGGAGGCAGCAGUGGGGAAUAUUGGACAAUGGAGGGAACCCUGAUCCAGCGACGCCGCGUGAGUGAAGAAGUAUUUCUGUAUGUAAAGCUCUGUCAGCAGGGAAGAAAGAAAUGACGGUACCUGACCAAGAAGCCCCGGCUAACUACGUGCAAGCAGCCGCGGUAAUCCGUAGGGGGCAAGCGUUAUCCGGAAUUACUGGGUGUAAGGGGAGCGUAGACGGUUAAGUAAGUUUGGAGUGAAAGGCCGGGGCCCAACCCCGGGACUGCUCUGGAAACUAUUCAACUUGAGAGCAGGAGAGGUAAGCGGAAUGCAUGGUGUAGCGGUGAAAUGCGUAGAGAUUA
rnacentral:rRNA from 1 species